GUAUUAAUAACCCAUCCGAAUUCAUAUUCAACCCGACCCGACUCAAUUUCAGUGUGAGCGAAGAGAAAUCGAGAAAGAUGAUACUGGUGGCGAUCGUGGCGGAGGUGCUGGAGGAGUACACGGCGUUAUUAGCAAGGGCGGUGGAGCAGGUGUUCCGUACUGCCCCUGUCCCUCGACGGUUUCGUUUUCUGAUCCUCCAUAAUCUUCCAUUUGUUUCAUCUCAUCAACACAGGAGGAUUCAAAUUCAAUCACAUUAGCUUCCAUUUUUCUUCAUUUUCUUCAAAGAAUUAUGUUUUUGUUUUGUGUGCCAUUCUGCCCUACCCUACCUGUAAUAGCAGAUUUGACUUAGCCUCUGACGAAUUUUACAAUUUUUUUUCUUCAUGUUAAUGUGAAUUUGAAGUUUCUGCAAAUUAAAUAAUUAGUGAAGUAAUUCACGGUGAUUGUUCGUGAUUUACUGGUUGCGUGUAA